CUGGGUUAUUAUAGGAAUACUUUAUAUUAGUUCCAGCAGACUUUGAAGUUUGAUUUUGUUGAUUUGUUAUAUUUCCAAAAAUAUUAUUAAAAUUGUUGGAUAUAUUUGAACCGGUACCUUGUGAUCCAAAAAUACCAAAGUUAUUAUUGUUAUUAUUACUACUUUCAACAGAAAGUGGUUGAUUUAUAUUUGUUUGAAUAUUACCACCAGAAAAAGGUGAUGUUUGUUGUUGUUGUUGUUGUGACUGUGUUUGUGAUUGGUUUGUAAUACCAAAUACUGAAUUGUUAACUAUACCACUUCCAAUACCAUUACCACCUCCUGUUCCUCCAAAAGGACUCAAAGCAUUAUUAGACAUAAUGGAAGAAGAUGAAGCAGAAGAAGAUCCAAAGACUCCAAAUGGACUUGUAUUAGAAUUAUUACUUUGUAAUACUGUUCCUUGGCCAAAUCCUAAUGUUGUACCUCCAAAAGGAUUUGCUAUAGAUCCAAUAGUAUUAGUAGUAUUAUUAGUAUUAGUAUUAGUAUUAAUAGUAGUAGUAGUAACACCAGUAUUUGUAUUAUU
rnacentral:antisense_RNA from 1 species